rnacentral:lncRNA from 1 species
GCGGCCGCCGGCUCCGGCCGAGGGCGAUGGGGCUGGGCUGAGGAGAGGCGGCGGCGGUGGCGAAAGCGGCCCCCCGGCCCCCUGCGGCCUUUUGGCUGCCCGGGCCGGGAGGCCGCGGAGAAGUCGGCCGGGCGGCGCGGCUGGUCUGACAGAAUCAUCCUGGGAUCUUGGUGUCUGGACAUAAGAGGUAUGAAUCACUUAUAUAAUUAGCUCCUAAUCAUUAAUGUUUUAGAGCUAUAUUUAGUGGUUUGUGUUAGUACAAAAUGAAUGGGGUAUGGAGUCAUAAACCCAGAAACUUACAUGAGUCUGAACUGAAUGUAACAUAAGAUUAUGUUAAGGGCGCUUUUGAAUCUAUGGAGCAGGACAUCAGGAGUGUUUAAAUUGAAGAAAGGUGGGGGGUCUUUCGUGAGGAAUACAGUUCUAGAAGUUUUGAGGCUAACAUGUAAGUUUA